rnacentral:lncRNA from 1 species
UUCAUGUGAAUUCCAUGUAAACCACAAAUAUUUUCCCUUAUCCUGUAGGAACACUCCAUUCUCAUCAUAUAAUCACCCUGUUUCAAGGACUCAAUCAAUGAAUCCUGACUGGGAUGCCUACUGUAUUCUUCAGCCUCCUCAAUGCCACAGUUUCCAGCAGCUCUUGAUUGCAGAAUGAUUUCUGCCCUGAUGAGACUGACAAGGAGAAAGGAGUGAAAAACAGCUGAUGAGAGGAAAGAGCCCCCCAUGCUGGG